rnacentral:rRNA from 1 species
UUUGGAGGGCAAGUCUGGUGCCAGCAGCCGCGGUAAUUCCAGCUCCAAUAGCGUAUAUUAAAGUUGUUGCAGUUAAAAAGCUCGUAGUUGAAUUUCGGGAUUAGCAGGUCGGUCGUGCCAUUGGUACGUACUGGUCUUGCUGAUUCCUCCCUUUUGACGAGCCGUAAUGCCAUUAAUUUGGUGUGCGGGAAUC